rnacentral:lncRNA from 1 species
CGGGGAAUAUGGAAUUUGAAACUCAAUUAUGUAUCGCUCGAGAGGGUCCCCAAAAGGGUUGAAGCUGUCGCAACAUUUUUCACAUCUGUCCGUAUCGGCCCUCCUCAUGUUUAUAGUGCCUCUUCAAGCUCUUUUAUAGGGGAUUAUACCGAGAAUAAGUCUCUAAAAUAGGCCUUUUUUUUUAGACCGGAUCUCUCAUAGGUAAAUUGAAAAAUGUACAAGAGCUCUGGUAAGACUCGCAUAGGCUAUGGCUCUGAGCUCAUCUGGAUCUGAUAACGCCAAUCUGCUUACUCCGGCUCUACUGGUGCAAUUGGGAAUAUCUCUCUCACCUGGUCAGCAGUACCUCAUUCAUUCCUUUAAUUUAUCCCAUGUCUUGAAGCGGCAACAAAGGAAGAAAAAAGGGGAUAGGCGGACGGAGGUGAAGCGGCUUACCUUCCUUUCCUCUGAUCUACGACCACCCUGCGACUUCAUCUGAAUCUGAAUCUGGAUCUUCCGC